GACGAACGCUGGCGGCGUGCUUAACACAUGCAAGUCGAACGGAAAGGCCUUGUUCUUGUGGGGUGCUCGUGUGGCGAACGGGAGAGUAUCACGUGAGUAACCUGACCUUGACUUUGGGAUACCUUUAGGAAACUGGGGCCAAUACCGGAAAGGAGCUCCUGCUGCAUGGUGGGGGUUGGAAAGUUUCGGCGGUUGGGGAUGGACAGGCGGCUUAUCAGCCUGUUGGUGGUGUAGUGGCUUACCAAGGCGUUGACGGGUAGCCGGCCUGAGAGGGUGACCGGCAGCAAUGGGACGGAGGAGCGGCGCAGAAGACUACGGGGGGCAGCAGCAGGGAAGAAUGCACAGUAAGCGGAGGCCGGAUGCAGCAACGACGCGUGCGGGAUGAAGAAGGUCGGGUUGUAGUCCGCUGUCGCCCGUGACGAAGAGGGAGUGACGGUAACGGGUGAAGAAGCACCGGCUAACUACGUG
rnacentral:rRNA from 1 species